UCCAAACAGAUAUUUAUCAAAGUAAAUGUGUUUAAAAUUUAGUAUCAGUAGUUGAAUAAAGUCUUUCUCUUACCAUUUGUGCAAUUUUUAUUAAAAUACCUUGAAUAGUAAGCGAGAAAUGGCCCAUCGGGCGACGCGAGUUUCGUCCGCGGGGCCCCGAGCACCCCGCGCCCGCGCCGACUUCCGCGGCGAUCCGUCAUCACUUGGAGCUCAUUUCCCGAUGACGUGUACACAACAGCCAAGAAAGCUAGCCACCAAUUUGUAGCCAACAAUACGAGCUUCAAAAUGACUACUGCCCAUCGAAGCUACGACCUCCGAGUCAAAAAAUAUCCGCAAGUUAAACUUUAAAAGUGAAAUAUCUCUCGAAGUUACCUCCCUAAAAAUUUUCAAGGGCAUCGAUUUUCUAAAAAUUCAGAAGUUUGCCGUCAUUUUGGUACUAGAUUCGCAUAUUUCUGACCAAAAAUGGUGCUAGAAACAUGGGGCUACAUUUACCAUACCUCGGCGAGUUUGGAGAAAGAAAUCCAAGAUGGCGGACGCCGGCGGCGACGAUGACGCACGCUACCUUCCGGGUGCGAUUCCCGCGGCAUCCGACGUCACUGCGACCGCUGAUACCUCCCAAAAUCCAGGAAACACAAAACCAAUUGGGGAGGCGUGUGAAGAGGCAGGCAUCACACUUGAUGUUCUCCUCACUGCUCCAAUUCUACUGAAACAAGCCAGGACCAAGCCUCCAUGAACCAUCCAGUGCAGUCCACAUCACAUGAUGCUGACCAUCAGACCUUUGAGGAAGAAGAUGUGUCAAGGCUCAAUGCCCAGUUUGCCAUCAAACCAGCAAAGUGCAAACAGUGAAGAUGAAGUAUUCGGAAGUGUUACAGAAACACCUGAGGGGAACACGGAGAAUGAUGAAGAGGACUGUUUCACUGAUACGGACUCUGAGUUAGAUUAGAGUGAAUUGGAUUUAGUGAGAAUGAUAGUGAGGAGGAGGAAGACGAAGAAGAAAGGGAAGAUGAGGAUAUCACUGUGAAGCAGUCCACUGUGACUGCUGUACCAACCUGAAAAAGAAAAAAAAUUGAGUGAGAACAUGUUAGAAUAUUUACUGCACUGUUGGCUAUAGACAAUGUAUCUGUGAUUAACUUGCUGGUAAAAUGAUGAGCAGAUAGAUUCUUACUAAGAAUUCAGCUUGUCUAAAACUAAGCCCAGGGUAGGGAAAUCUGUUCUGGCUGUCAAAGGUGAUACUAGUACUUGCAUAAUUCAUUAUAUGGUCAUACGCAGUAAAAAAAUCACAUGAUGUCAGAAAACUCAUAUUUAAUGAUAAAAUACAUCAAUUCUGAUAGCAUAUUUGGAUUCAGCAGGUGCCAAAACCCCCUAGGAAUAAAGUUUGUAGAGUUUGAUCAAAGUAGUAAUGAAAUAUUGUAAUUACGCAUAUUUAAUGAGGGGACUUAGAAAUUAUUGCGCCCGAAAUCUCGUUUAAGGUCAUAAAACCAUACUUCUUGUUGAAAUGUGUCAAUUUUGAUAUCAUAUUUGGAUUCAGCAGGUCCCAAAACCCCCAGAAUGCAAGCUUUGCUGAAAUUGAUCAAAGCAUGUUAGAAAUACAUUGAGUUCGCAUAUUUAAUGAGGGGACUUAGACGUUUUCGCGACUAGCUUGUUUGGCGCACUGCCUCUGAAAUGUCAAUAUUUGCUAUAGUUCAGGAUUACGUAGCUCGGUAAAUAAUGAUACGAUGUGACUGUUUUUUGUACAAGAGUUAAUAUCACCACAUUAAAGUCUUUUAAAGGUGAAUUGCUGGCUUUGUGAUGUUCUGUUGUCGAUAUAUAACAGUAUGAAAAAACAAUAGAAAUGGCAUAUCUAAGAAAUCCGUAAAAUCAGAGGCUCGAAAUUGAAACUUAAAUUGCCAAUAUCUCAGCUAUACAACAUCCAAUUCACUUCAAACAAAUACCAUUUUGUUUCUUUCAGUGAGCUCUUUCUGAAUAACUUAAUUGUGACUGGCAUACAACAAUUUUAAUUUUUUGUCCAACACCCCUAGUAAUAA